UCGCCUGUUUUUCAAAAACAUCGCCUCUUGCCUAAUAUGAGAGGUCCAGCCUGCCCAGUGACUAAGUUCAACGGCCGCGGUAUCCUAACCGUGCGAAGGUAGCGUAAUCACUUGUUCUUUAAAUGAGGACUAGUAUGAAUGGCACCACGAGGGUUAUACUGUCUCCUUUUUCUAAUCAAUGAAACUGAUCUCCCCGUGAAGAAGCGGGGAUACUACUAUAAGACGAGAAGACCCUAUGGAGCUUUAAACUUUAAUAACACUGAUUUAUACAUUAUCAAAUUUCAGAAUUUUUAAUAAAGAUAUUAAUCAGAGUGUCUAUUAGUUUUAGGUUGGGGUGACCGCGGAGCAAAAAUUAACCUCCACGUUGAACGGAAUCUAUCCUGAGCCGAAAGCUACAACUUUAAGCACCAAUAAAAUGACAAUAAUUGACCCAAAAAUUUGAGCAACGAACCAAGUUACCCUAGGGAUAACAGCGCAAUCCAUUUCAAGAGCCCCUAUCGACAAAUGGGUUUACGACCUCGAUGUUGGAUCAGGGUAUCCCAGUGGUGCAGCCGCUACUAAAGGUUCGUUUGUUCAACGAUUAAAACCCUACGUGAUCUGAGUCCAGAACCGGA
rnacentral:rRNA from 1 species